UACCCCUUGGUGUAAUGGUAACAUAACAGAUUCUGACUCUGUUGUUCAAGGUUCGAGUCCUUGAGGGGUAGCCA
rnacentral:tRNA from 4 species